GGCCCGUUGGUCAAGUGGUUAAGACACCGCCCUUUCACGGCGGUAACAUGAGUUCAAAUCUCGUACGGGUCAUGA
rnacentral:tRNA from 1 species